UACGAGGGCCCCAAGCGUUGUCCGGAUUUAUUGGGCGUAAAGCGCGCGUAGGAGGUUUCACAGGUCUAAGGUUAAAUCAUUCCGCUCAACGGGGUGGCCGCCUUGGAAACCGUGAAGCUAGAGGGCGUUAGAGGCAGAUGGAACGCACGGUGUAGGGGUGAAAUCCGUUGAUAUCGUGCGGAACACCAAAGGCGAAGGCAUUCUGCUGGGACGUUCCUGACUCUGAGGGCGCGAAAGCGUGGGUAGCGAAUGGG
rnacentral:rRNA from 1 species